GCCUUCGUGGUGUAGUGGUCAGCAUACUGGAUGCGUAACUGAGAGGUCCUGGUUCGAUUCCCGGCGAGGACA
rnacentral:tRNA from 1 species